rnacentral:misc_RNA from 1 species
CCCAACUAUCCCUAUUAAUCAUUACGGUGAUCCUAGAAACCAACAAAAUAGAAUGCGAUGUCCUAUUUCAUUAUUCCAUGCUAAUGUAUUCAAGCGUUAGCCUGCUUUAAACACUCUAAUUUUUUCAAGGUAACAGUCCUAAUUCCCCACAACAUCAAAUGAAUGACAUCAUGGUUCCUUAGAAGGUGAGAACCAAUAUGACCAGUACAUACCAUUGGCAUGACCGAUCCAUUGAUCCCGAGGUUCAACUACGAGCUUUUUAACUGCAACAACUUUAAUAUACGCUAUUGGAGCUGGAAUUACCGCGGCUGCUGGCACCAGACUUGCCCUCCA